CUUUGGAUCGAAUCGAACCAGUUUACGUUGUUGAAAAGUUCGUGUGGGUUUUGGCCGGUUGAUUGAUUUUCUGAUUUCGGCCUUCGUGGUGGAGGAGGAGGAGAACGGGUCACAUCGUUGCUCCGGCGGGCCAUGCCGAAAGACGGAAAGGGAAGCACCCGGUCUGUGACCGAGGAAGCGGAUUGGUGUUUAACUUUCCGUGGGAGGUGGCGGUGCAUGGUUUUUAUACGGUAACCAAAAAUAUUCCAAUCGAAUCCUGCUGACAACCCAGCGUUUCCGUAUUGUCCCAUGGAACGGAAGCUGUAACGAUCGCAAAAACACCUGCACUGGAAGUGCGUAAACCAACGUUGUCCCGUAGACCAUCAAUCUGUGAGAAUUAAAUGGAAGCGCCGCUCCAGUGCCGUAUCUACACGCUGGUGUCGACUCCAAAAGAUGGCUGACAAAGUCCGGCCAAGAUGCCGAAGCGACGAGAUGAGCUGAAAGGCCAACCGGAAGAUAACGCCAAAAACCACGUGAAGAUCGCGACACACAACAAGAAAAAUUAAUGAAUGUUUGUGAAAUCGAGUGAAAAAGAUUAAUUAACAGAAAAAAUAUAUCUAAAAAUAAUUUAAAA